rnacentral:misc_RNA from 1 species
AGAGUUAAACAGUAUGUGAAAUUGUUGAAAGGGAAACGAUUAAAGUCAGUCGUACUAACGGGGAAUCAACCAUCUGAGUGUGAAUUCGCGAGAUGCAAAGAGCCUUUGUUUUUGUGAUAUUCGUAUCUUUUUUGGUGCACUUUUUCGUAUUGUAGGUUAGCAUCGGUUUUGAUAGUUAUAAAAUGACCGGAGGAAUGUAGCUUCGAUCUCGGUUGAAGUGUUAUAGCCUUUGGUAGAUGUAACGAUCGAGACCGAGGAUUGCAAUGAAUACCCUCAUGGGCUAUUCGUCUGACUUCUGAUACGUCACUUUGGUGUCGAAAGCUUGCUUAUGAUGUUAAAGUGUGCGGUCAAAAGGUUAGAACGGAUUAAAUUCGUUAAGGAUGCUGACGUAAUGGCUUUAAACGA